UACGUAGGUGACCAGCGUUGUCCGGAUUUACUGGGCGUAAAGAGCGCGCAGGCGGUCGUUCAAGUCGAGUGUGAAAGCCCCCGGCUCAACUGGGGAGGGUCAUUCGAUACUGAUCGACUUGAAGGCAGGAGAGGGAAGUGGAAUUCCCGGUGUAGUGGUGAAAUGCGUAGAUAUCGGGAGGAACACCAGUGGCGAAGGCGACUUCCUGGCCUGUUCUUGACGCUGAGGCGGCGAAAGCUAGGGGAGCAAACGGG
rnacentral:rRNA from 1 species